UACGGGGGGGGCAAGCGUUGUUCGGAAUUACUGGGCGUAAAGGGUUUGUAGGUGGCUUGUUAAGUCAGACGUGAAAUCCCUCAGCUUAACUGGGGAACUGCGUCUGAUACUGGCGAGCUUGAGUGCAGGAGAGGAACGCGGAAUUCCAGGUGUAGCGGUGAAAUGCGUAGAGAUCGGGAGGAACACCAGAGGCGAAGGCGGCCCCCUGGUUGGAUACUGACGCUGAGACGCGAAAGCGUGGGGAGCAAACAGG
rnacentral:rRNA from 1 species